UGGGGAAUAUUGCACAAUGGGCGAAAGCCUGAUGCAGCAACGCCGCGUGAGUGAUGAAGGCCUUCGGGUUGUAAAGCUCUGUCUUUUGGGACGAUAAUGACGGUACCAGAGGAGGAAGCCACGGCUAACUACGUGCCAGCAGCCGCGGUAAUACGUGGGUGGCAAGCGUUGUCCGGAUUUACUGGGCGUAAAGGAUGCGUAGGCGGAUGCUUAAGUCAGAUGUGAAAUUCCCAGGCUUAACUUGGGAACUGCAUUUGAAACUGGGUAUCUAGAGUGCGGGAGAGGAAAGUGGAAUUCCUAGUGUAGCGGUGAAAUGCGUAGAGAUUAGGAAGAACACCAGUGGCGAAGGCGACUUUCUGGACCGUAACUGACGCUGAGGCAUGAAAGCGUGGGGAGCAAACA
rnacentral:rRNA from 1 species